rnacentral:rRNA from 1 species
GACGAACGCUGGCGGCGUGCUUAACACAUGCAAGUCGAACGGUAAGGCCCUUCGGGGUACACGAGUGGCGAACGGGUGAGUAACACGUGGGUGAUCUGCCCUGCACUUCGGGAUAAGCCUGGGAAACUGGGUCUAAUACCGGAUAGGCCCACGUCCUGCAUGGUAGGUGGCGGAAAGCUGUUGCGGUGUGGGAUGGGCCCGCGGCCUAUCAGCUUGUUGGUGGGGUGAUGGCCUACCAAGGCGAGGACGGGUAGCCGGCCGGAGAGGGGGACCGGCCACACUGGGACUGAGAUACGGCACAGACUCCUACGGGAGGCAGCAGUGGGGAAUAUUGCACAAUGGGCGCAAGCCUGAUGCAGCGACGCCGCGUGAGGGAUGACGGCCUUCGGGUUGUAAACCUCUUUCAGCACCGACGGAGCGCAAGUGACGGUAGGUGCAGAAGAAGGACCGGCCAACUACGUGCCAGCCGCCGCCGUAAUAC